rnacentral:rRNA from 1 species
CAGCAGCCACGGUAACACGUAGGGUGCGAGCGUUAAUCGGAAUUACUGGGCGUAAAGCGUGCGCAGGCGGUUAUAUAAGACAGAUGUGAAAUCCCCGGGCUCAACCUGGGACCUGCAUUUGUGACUGUAUAGCUAGAGUACGGUAGAGGGGGAUGGAAUUCCGCGUGUAGCCGUGAAAUGCGUAGAUAUGCGGAGGAACACCGAUGGCGAAGGCAAUCCCCUGGACCUGUACUGACGCUCAUGCACGAAAGCGUGGGGAGCAAACAGGAUUAGAUACCCCUGUAGUCCCUGUCUCUUAUAC